UAUUAAGCAUGAAUCUAUCCCGAACCUGAUUCCUGUAAGAUUGACAACCCUGUCGGAUCUGACUUCUGAAAU
ensembl:snoRNA